CCCCCCAGGGCAGACCCCAAAGAGAAGGGUCAGAAGUGCCCUCUGGGGCCUGGGCAGCUGGGCGGAGCCCACAAGCCUGAGACCCCAUGGGAAGGAAGUGUCCCCACCCUGUGGUAAGAAAGGGGCUGGUAGAGGCUCCUAUGUGGCUCCCUCUGUCCCCUCCCAACCUCUGGCCAGGCUUGGGAUAAUCCCUGAGUGGACACAGGUGCCACAAUGGGGUCUCGGGGGUGAGGGCUGAGGAGGCUGAGCCUCCAAGGACCCCAGGGUGCCUGUUCCCACUGCACACCCACCGGGGCACAGGGUAGGGAUAGUGCCAGGAGGGCCACAGCUGCAGGGUCCACCCCAGGCCGUGGUACACAGGUAGAGGUGGGUGCCAGCCUUCGUGAAGCACCUGCAGAGGCUCCACUCAGGGAGAGAACGAGGCACUCACCCAAAGGGAUCCUGGGUCACACGGGGCAGCAAGAGAGGGUGGAGCAAGUGGCCUAGAGCAAAGGGUUGGAGAGGCCCCGGGCGGCGCGUUCUCCCCCAAGCCCAUUCCAGGGCCAUGGGCACCCCCCAGAGGCAGCUGGUGGGACUGCCGCCAUGCAGGUCCUAGAGGGCAGGUGACAGGGGACGUGACAGAAGGGGACAAAGGGCCGGCAACAUCCCUGGGGGAGGCACAGAGAGGGCCAGACUGCCCUCUGUGGACUGCGGAACCCAGAACCCAACGGCCAAUCCUCCCCCUACUCCUCACCCACAGUAAGGGGCCAGGGCUCCAUGCAAUGAGAACCCACGGGUGAUGCCACACGGGGGAGAAGCCACGCGGGGGAGAGGCCAUGCAGGGCAGAGGUUACAAGGGGGAGAGGCCGCGGGGGGAGAGGUCGCAUGGGGCAGAGGCCACGUGGGGGAGACGUCACAUGGGGGAGGACACGCAGGGCAGAGGUCACAUGGGGGAGAGGCCACGCGAGGGAGAGGCCACGCAGGGGAGAGGUCACAAUGGGGAGAGGCCGCAGGGGGGAGAGGUCACAUGGGGCAGAGGCCACGUGGGGGAGAGGUCACAUGGGGCAGAGGUCACAUGGGGGAGGACACGCAGGGGAGAGGUCACAAGGGGGAGAGGCCGCAGGAGGAGAGGUCACAUGGGGGAGAGGCUACACAGGGGAGAGGCCGCACGUUGGGGAGAUGGCCCCUGCGGGAAGACUCCGAGGCAGUCUGCUGCAGCUCCUUCCGGCUGAAUCCGGUUCAGGAAGUAAAACCAGCCCUGUGUAGAGGUAAGUGAUGCUUGGAGGGAUAAUCUCCGAGCAGCUCACCGCGGUGCUGGCCAUUGCCGUUCUCUUCACGGUAGAAGAGUCCAUUUGGGGAAAAGGUCCCCAUCAGAGAUGGAGACGUUCCCUUUCAGACUCCGGGCUGAGGCUGUGGGGCCGGCUCCCUACCACGUGGGCUGGGGGCUGGGCACACGCACGCCCACUCCUGGGCCCUCUUCCUGGUAGGCCACAGCACCACACACACUGCAAACCGGGCCUCUUCUUCAUCCACCACCACCGUCCAGGCCUCAGCAUCACCACGCUGGGGUCUUGUGCCCUCUGGGGGAACUUCUGGGCUAAUGAGGGGGGACAGUCCCCAUUACCGGUCUAUCUUUAUAAGGCAGUAUAUGCAACACUGGAAGUUCUGUGAGACAUGUUCCAACCCCAGGGCUGCUGGCAGAACUGUCCCCAAACCCACCCUCGAUCCCACGGCCAGGAAGUGGGUCCAAAAUUGCCUGGCCAGGUCACACCCCUGCGUGAACCGUCCCACAACACCCAGGGCGCUGCCUGACCUGCCGCCCACCUGUCAGCCCCUCCCCUCACCCCUGCCGCAGCUGCAGGGCCUGCCCUCGCCGGGGGCUGCUCCCUGCUUACCUCCCUCGCCCGUGCAGUGCCUCUACUGCCCGCAAGGCCCACCGGGAGAAGUUAUAGGUCACGGUCAUAUCUGAGUGUGAGAAGCUCAUGCAGAGAACAUUCUGGCUGAGGGAGAGGUCUUGGGGUUCAAGGCUGUUUCUUGGCUCUGCUCAGCCACGCCAGGCAGGAAAAUGGGCACCUCUGGUGACCCAGGCUGGCUGAGAGCCUGCAGGGAAGAGCCUUUGGCACGUGAGCCACUGUGGGCUGGCAGGACUGCAACUUGGGGUCUCCAUCUACUGGUACCGAGGCAAGGAGGAAAAAGCAGGGGGGCCCGGAGACGGCCCCUCUAAGUCUGUAACUCCAGAACUGCUGCUCAGUCCCCAGAAUGUCACCUCCGAGCAGAGCCUGUGACAACUUCAACUGUGAAGCUGUGGCGUGGGUUGCUACUGAAGCUCUGAAGUCAGCGGGGACACAGCAUGUUUGUUCUAGACCGUUUGGCUGCUGGAGGAAGCUGCACACGCACACACUCGCCUCACCACCCUGCGAGUCCACAGGCCCCUCCCUGGAGGCACCUCCAGGUAAAGGGGGCCCUGCAUCGGGCCUUGCUCUCUGGGGCGCUGAGACGCUCUACAAUGAACUGUGCUGCAGUGCACGGCCGCCCGACUGUGCACCCACAACAGGGAACUGAACGCUGCAUGAAUUACAUCUCCAAGUUGUUCUUUAAAAAGGCUUAGGGUCCCUGGAAGACCCUCGCCCACACCCAGCGUGGAGCGUUGUUGCUCACGUGGCCGCACCUCUCGGGAUGGCCGUGGGUCUCCGUGAUGGGCAGGCGAGUGGAACCACAGGUGCUUCCUGUCCUGGUCACAAAGUCAGAGUGGCUGGGCCAAGUGUCCUGAGAAAAGUCACCUCCUGGGAUCCCAUCAGCCUGGCCAUAGCAGAACACCUAGACAGGGGCCCAUCCCCGAGGCUCAACUCAACACAUGCAGCCACUGUAGAAAAGUCUGGAAAAUAGUUCUUCAACCGACUAGACAUGGUGAGCCCAAAACCCAGCCAUGACACUCCUAGGCAUCUGCCCCAGAGGAAUGAAAGCAUCCGUCCCCUGCAAACUCAUCCUUACGCAGCAGCAUGACUCAAGACGGCCAAAGGCGGAAACACCCCAAACGUCCAUCAGUGGACAAACGGGCAGACGCAAUGCACUGUCUGUACCGUGGGAUGUCACUCAGCCAUAUGAAGGAAAGACUCCACUGUGGAUGAGCCCUGGAACCACGGUGCUGCGUGAUCCCGUAACACAUGGCCAGAACAGAAACGGCCCGGAACCUGAGGCCGGGAAGAUGCGUGCGGGUGGCGGGGAGACAGAGGGGCAAUGGCUAAGGAAUACCCAGUUUAUUUUGGGCUGAAAAUGGUCUAAAGUUGACUGUGGUGAUGGCUGUACAACUCUGAAUAUGCUGAAAACUCGAAUUACACACUUCAGUUGGGCGAACUGUACUCCAUGUGAAUUACCUCUCGAUGGUUCCUCUCCUGGGCUCAGGCGCUUCUCCCACCUUGGCCUCCUGAGUAGCUGGAACUACCAUUCAUGUGCGGAAAUAAAACAACUCGGUCUCAAAAAAAACUCAACUCAAAACUCAGUCUCAAAAAUAAAAAAAUAAAAAAGUAAAAGAGGCUA